rnacentral:rRNA from 1 species
UACGAAGGGGGCUAGCGUUGUUCGGAUUUAGUCGUGGGCGUAAAGCGCACGUAGGCGGAUUGAUUAAGUCCGGGGGGUGAAAACUCCCUGGAGCUCAACAUUCAGAAUUGCCUUCGAUACGUGGCUUUCUAGAGGCUGGAAGGAGGUUAGUGGAAUUCCCAGUGUAGAGGUGAAAUGCGUAGAUAUUGGGAAGAACACCUGAGGCGAAGGCGGGUUGCUGGGCUG